rnacentral:rRNA from 1 species
AAUCAACGCUGGCGGCGUGCCUCAGACAUGCAAGUCGAACGCGAAAGUCCCCUUCGGGGGGCAAGUAGAGUGGCGCACGGGUGAGUAACACGUAGGUAAUCUACCUUUGGAUGGGGAAUAACAACCGGAAACGGUUGCUAAUACCGCAUAAUGCAGCGGCACCUAAUGGUGACAGUUGUUAAAGCGGGGGGAUCGAAAGACCUCGCGUCUGAAGAGGAGCCUGCGGCGGAUUAGCUAGUUGGAAGGUAACGGCUUACCAAGGCAACGAUCCGUAGCCGGCCUGAGAGGGCGGUCGGCCACACUGACACUGACAUACGGGUCAGACUCCUACGGGAGGCAGCAGUGGGGAAUCUUGCGCAAUGGGCGAAAGCCUGACGCAGCGACGCCGCGUGAGGGAUGACGG